CAUGUGAGUACAGUGGUUCAAUAUUAAUAUUAUAAAGGCCACGAGAAUAUUUUGGUGCGCCAAAAAAACAAAAUAACGACUUGUAUAGCGAUGGCUGAUUUCAAAACGCUGCUUCAGGAAGAUUCUGAGCUUUAAGCAUGCUAGAAACUUGCAGAUAGAUGUGUUGAGGCAAGUUUGAGCUAAACUCUGCAGGACAGUGGCCCUUCAGGACCGAGUUUGGAGGCCCCUGCUAUAGACGAUCAUCAGCUCUGCGGGUUAUUUACGUCAACAAAAGAGAGAUUAAUCAGAUACUUAUACUUCAUAAAUUUAAUAUUACGAGUUUUAUCUGCACAAAAUGACGCGAAUGCACAAGUGAAGCUUGAACUGAGGUACGUAAUCAAUGUUUAACUCCAGUAGACGCGCUCUUCCCACAACAACACGCCGAAACAACAACAACAGAGAAUUCACAACGUUUGAUCACAAUAGUGUUCCCGUUAUAAUGUAAAUGACAGUCCCAGCUGUUAUUAAUGUUGUGCGUUGCUGUUUGGCUGCCAGUGGUGUGGUCCUUUCUGAGUGAAGCCAACAAUUACGCCGAUCUAACUCCUUUGGGAUCGAAUAAAAUUGUAGUUCGGGGUUUCUCUGACGACUGUUAAAACGGAUAACGGCACCACAUAUCCCAGACUUGUAAAUACUUGUAAAUAAACAAAUCUCGAGUCAAAUCUCGUUUUUUCAUAUUUUUAUUUUUGUUCUAAUCCGCCAAAUGGGAAAACAAUAAAACCAAAAUGGGUAAACGGCUUGAAUAUUCGAUCUCUACAUGGGCGGGAAUAAAACGCCCCUUUCCGCUGAUUGGUCAACCAAAGAUCAAGCCGCAACACUCGCUCAUCCCUACUAAUUACUCAGCACCGUCAGCAUUAAAGAGAAAAUAAUCACUUCAUCUGAUGUUUUUGAAUAAAAUAGCCUUGAGAGCCGACUUACUGGAACUCAUCUGUCUGUAGAACUGUUCUCUCCCGCCGGCGCCGCCGGACUUCUACAGAAUCUACACACAAGUGAGUGUGACGUGCGAGGUGGACCAAACCACUGUGAGGCAAGGGAGGGGUGACUCAAAAUGUUUCUAAACUUAAAACGCCCGUUUGCGUUUGCCCCUGUCCCCCCGCUAUUUACGCCCCUGCUGCUACUGCCGAAAACAUUUGUGUCAAUUUGACAUAUUUGGCAGCGUUUUUUUCUCUCGCGCAGCUUCUCUGCACCUCCUUUGCGUUUCUUCUGCAUGAUCAACAUCACAUUGAAACUGCGUGCAGGCAGAAAUCCUAUAGAUGGUACUGUUCAAAGAUAUGAUUGGGCCAGUCCAGUGUCAAUCAAGAAAACAACCAAUGGGCCGCUGAGCUACAUGUUUCAUGAGCCGCGUCUGUCAGAAGGGAAAAAAACUAGCCUAUGUGAUAUUUAUGACUAAAGUGUUUUGGGCCAGCAGCCCAGUGUCAAUUGAAAAAGUAUUGGGCCGCCGAUCUAGGCCUACCACUUUCACUUUCUUUUCUUUUUUUUUUUUUUUUUUGCGGUCGGCGACCUUUGGCCCUAAAAAGCACGUUGGCCCACCGGGAAAGUGCCCGAUAUGCCAGAUGGCCAGUCCGCCCAUGUUAACGUCAAGCAAAUUCUUGAGAAGACCCCUGGAGCCGUGAGGUGGUGAGGCGGAGAUGAGCAUACUCUACUUGUACGAAAAUGAGAGGUGGUGAGGCGGAGAUGAGCAGAAAAGACUUAUUUACUAUUGUGGUAUGAAUAAUAAAACAUUUAAACUGCAAGCAAAAGGUGUUCAUGUCAUCUUUAUUUAUAUAGUGCUUUGUACAAUACAGAUUAAGAUUAUUUUUCUUACCCCAAAAUGGCAGAUAAUAUAGUUUUUUUUUUUUUUUUUUUUACCCUUAAUUUUGACCCCUCCCCAGAAAAUAAGACACAAUAUCUCGUGUCAUUUUACAUAUUUAGUCAAUGCAUCUUGAUUUAAGAAUUUAUAGAUAUUGGGACUGGAAACAAAACAAAAAUAGUAAGAAAAACGUUUUUUUUCUCCCCAGUGUAGACAGUGUCUUGGAUUGGAUCUCGAAUGAAUUUAUGAUGCUAACUGCAAAUUCUAAACUGUUAGGCAUUGCAAAUAAGAGAUAAAAGCUGUGCCCACUAGAGGGAGCCACAGGAUAAGAAAUCUUUCAAGCCUGAUGUUUUUCUGUUGAUCAAAUCCAUCACUUUGAAUGGAAACCAAUGCAUUUAUCUUAUUUGUAUCAUGUAUUGACAGUGUUGUUUUGUAUAGUUAUGGUACAUAGAAUCUGUGAAAUGCUUAUAGAUUAUCAAAUGUUAGACUUUUGUGGACCCCAAUAAAGCAUAUUUUCCCAAGGAUUUUUUUUUCAUAUUGCUCUCCUUUUAAAAGGAGUAGACGAUUUUAAAAUGUCUAUAAAGACUUAUUUACUAUUGUGGUAUGAAUAAUAAAACAUUUAAACUGCAAGCAAAAAGUAUUCAUGACAUCUUUAUUUAUAUAGUGCUUUGUACAAUACAGAUUAAGAUUAUUUUUCUUACCCCAAAAUGGCAGAUAAUAUAGUUUUUUUUGUUUUGUUUUGUUUUUUUAUAGCAAAAACUCACUUAACUUUGACCCCUCCCCAGAAAAUAAGACAUAAUAUCUCGUGUCAUUUUACAUAUUUAGUAAAUGCAUCUUGAUUUAAGAAUUUAUAGAUAUUGGGACUGGAAACAAAACUAAAAAGAAAAACGUUUUUUCUCCCCAGUGUAGACAGUGUCUUGGAUUGGAUCUUGAAUGAGUUUAUGAUGCUAACUGCAAAUUCUAAACUCUAAAUCUUUUUCUGUUGAUCUUUCCAUCACUUUGAAUGGAAAUGAAUGCAUUUAUCUCAUUCAUUUGUUUCAUAUAUUGACAGUGUUGUUUUAUAUUGGAAGAUUAUGUGUAUUUUCAUUAUCUUUAGUUAGAUGCAUUUACAUUGUGACUGUACAUCAGAUGCAAUCAACUCUGUGUUUGUAAAACUAAAUGACCCAUACAGACGUAUGGCCCACAGAAACUAAUGGGUGUUAUUGUACCCACUGGUACAUGAACGUCCCGACUGGUACAUGAACAUACUGACUCUUCGUACACAGAUGUGCUCUCACCACAUGGGGUUCUUCGUACGCAGGUGUGCUCUCAUGUCGCACUCUUGUUGAUCACUUGAAAAUGAUCGUAGAUCUACAAGUGCUCUGGAGUAAUCGUAAAGCUCUAAGAAGACAGAGUUAUGAGGUCACCUACAGGACAACCAGCAGAUUACACCUUUAUUCAAGUGCAAUGUGUAUAACAUUGGAUAUAAGGUUUAUAAGGGUUAUAUAAAUAUAAGGUUUUGACUGUA